rnacentral:rRNA from 1 species
GACGAACGCUGGCGGCGUGCUUAACACAUGCAAGUCGAACGGAAAGGCCCUUCGGGGUACUCGAGUGGCGAACGGGUGAGUAACACGUGGGUGAUCUGCCCUGCACUUUGGGAUAAGCCUGGGAAACUGGGUCUAAUACCGGAUAGGACUACGGCCUGCAUGGGUUGUGGUGGAAAGCUUUUGCGGUGUGGGAUGGGCCCGCGGCCUAUCAGCUUGUUGGUGGGGUGAUGGCCUACCAAGGCGACGACGGGUAGCCGGCCUGAGAGGGUGACCGGCCACACUGGGACUGAGAUACGGCCCAGACUCCUACGGGAGGCAGCAGUGGGGAAGUAUUGCACAAUGGGCGCAAGCCUGAUGCAGCGACGCCGCGUGGGGGA